rnacentral:rRNA from 1 species
UACGGAGGGCGCAAGCGUUGUUCGGAAUUAUUGGGCGUAAAGCGCGUGUAGGCGGCUUGGCAAGUCGGGUGUGAAAGCCCGGGGCUCAACUCCGGAACUGCACUCGAAACUGCCUCGCUAGAGUCCCGGAGAGGAGGGCGGAAUUCCCGGUGUAGAGGUGAAAUUCGUAGAUAUCGGGAGGAACACCAGCGGCGAAGGCGGCCCUCUGGACGGUGACUGACGCUCAGACGCGAAAGCGUGGGGAGCAAACAGGAUUAGAUACCCCCGUA